rnacentral:lncRNA from 1 species
CCGCGCUCCGGGGGCUGCGGUGUACGGGAGCCCCCCCGGAGCCUCGGCGGGUGGGUGAACCUCGGGGACCGCGCGCCCUUAACGCUCCACUCGCUGUUUUUUGUUUUUUUUUUUUUUUUUCUGAGCUGGAAACGAUUAAAAAGCGAAAGCGAAGGAGGGGAGCGGGUCUGCCGGCAGGGUGUGCUGCCGCCCCAGCGAAGGGACGCGCGAGAAAAUCCCCGGAGCUGCCCCGGAGCAGCCUCACGCGAGCUCGGCUGCAGCUCCACGCCCGCGUCGCGCUCUCCGAACUCUUCGCCGCGCUCGAAGCUCACCGCCCCGCGCCGCGUCCCCCGGCUGCGCAGCGUCCCGUGGCCACCGGAGCCUGGCGAGAAGCCGUGCCAAAGCCCUCUGCCCUCAGGAAGAGCCUCCCACCACCGGGCUUUAAGCUCCCAGCCAUCCCGAGCCAUUCCACGAUCCUAAGAAAGUUCCACACCACUGGGGGCUGCAGCAGCGGUGAGGCUGGGUGUUCAUCAGUAGGGCCCUCCCACUCCCAUCAAUGUCCUUCUCUGUCGCCGAGCCACUUGUCCGAGUCCCCUGGAGAGCACCAUCACCUCCCUGGCAGUAACAGAGCAAACUAUGAGGAUUCCCACCGCCAGCAACAUCAGGAGACGAAGGCCCUCCUUGACGAGGCCACUCAGCCACCCCGCGACCUUGAGCUAAUAACAGAAUAUCUAUGGCAGUGCGAUUCUGUAGCAAGGCAUGCCGUAAGCUGUUCUGGUCAAGCAGAAGCUGUUUGAGAAAGGAGAGUGCAACCCUUGCAGCAAGCGAGAAAAGCUCCGUGGGAUGCUCACAUUCAGGGGUUAGCAGAGCACGCUUCAUGCGAUCAGAGCGGUUAGAGAGUAAUGUUUCAAAGCUGCUCAAAGACCAAAAAGAUGUCCGGAGGCAAUGCCUUCGCAGAGCCAUUGCACCAUAUAGUCGAGUUGUUACCAUUUGCAGCUGCGCCAUAGGCAGCCAAACCUGUCUUCUUGAUGUAUUGGUGCCACAGUAAUCACAAGCAUCCCGUAAGUAAAUUUGCCACGGCUAGAUACAGUAGUGCAAGAGGUCCAAUUCAGCCCUUUAUAAGGAUUUAGGCCCUGCUGGGUAUUACUGAAUACAAAGCAGGUCUGGGUCCAAUUCUGUGACGUGUUCCCUAUCGCCUGCGACCCCAUAAGUUACGGUUCCUGGGGAUCCCAAGGCAGCGAGACAUUUCAUCCAGCAAUCAGUUCAGUGGAGCAUCCCAGACUGUGUAGAAGCCGCUGUAGAGCCGGGGCAGAGAGCUGUUGGCAUCGAUGAGGCACAGCGGGGUCUGCUGAGGCCCCCCCCCCCCCCCCAACAGGCUGCCCCACGCCAGCUUCUGCAGCUCGAUGGGCAUCACGGUGUAGGGCAGUGCUUCUCAGUGUAGCCCUGGAAGCCCUGCACUGCCAUGGAGAGCACCGGGUGGAGGCGGCUGUGGCGCGGUCCGGGCUCGGGCCAGGGGAGGCUGCGGGUGGCCGUACAGCGGGGGCUCGUAUGGCCUUCAAGGUGUUGGCAGCAGCACGCCACACCGGUCCCAGAGGCUUCAGCAACUCCUCGUCCUUCCCCCCAGAUAUCACACAGUCCCACGUAUGAUCUCCUAUAUCACGCCAUUCUGAAGCACCGAACAUCAGUGCCACCUCCAUGAGGUAUUCAAGUCAUCGAGCCCAUUUUACCAGCUCCGACGGGCCUUUAGGAGACACUUGCUCCCCUUUCUUAGAGAGGAUAGUUAGGAGCGGUUUCUCUGUAGCUUCCCACUCUAUCGUGGGGGCAGAGGGCAGGGAGGGACCCCGCUUCCAGCUACCGUGACACUUACAGCACUG